rnacentral:rRNA from 1 species
AAAAAGGGUUCAAGCAGCAGAUCCAUUUUCUGCCACCGAAUACAUUAGCAUGGGAUAAUGGAAUAGGACCCUGUCCUCCUAUUUUCAGUUGGUUUUGGCAGCGCGAGGACUAGGGUAAUGAUUAAUAGGGAUAGUUGGGGGCAUUAAUAUUUAAUUGUCAGAGGUGAAAUUCUUGGAUUUAUGAAAGAUUAACUUCUGCGAAAGCAUCUGCCAAGGAUGUUUUCAUUAAUCAAGAACGAAAGUUAGGGGAUCGAAGACGAUCAGAUACCGUCGUAGUCUUAACCAUAAACGAUGCCGACCAGCGAUUAGGAGACGUUGAAUACAAAACACCACCAUCGGCGCGGUCGUCCUUGGCGUUGGUCCUUCACGGGGCCGGCGCGAGGGCGGCUUAGCCCGGUGGCACCGGUGAAUGACUCCCCUAGCGCCUUGGUGAGAAAAAAAAAGAAGGAUAAAGAAUUAGGG